AUGCAAGAGAAUUUUCUUACGAAUCUUUACCUUCUCGAUCUUCAUCUGCAGGUAAUAUUAUGCUUCCUUUUAUUUAGUUAUGUACCACUUGUUUCAUUUUGUGAAGCGGAUUAAUUAUCAUCUGUGAUGGAUUAUCUCAAUUGAUAUGAGUUCUACUUUCAGAAAAAGAAUAAAUGGUUACGUCCAUUGGUUUUUUGGAUAUGAUAUUAGCAAUAUAAUCAUUCUUAGGUUUAAUUUUAUGCACAAAAAAAAAGAAAAAAGAGUUUGCAUCAGUAUUCAGUAGGAAAUACCUUCUAUGACUGUUCAGAUAUUCAAUUUUCUGUGAGUAUUUUUGACUGCCUUGCAUCCGUAAUUACUUCUUUGUCUGCUGGUAAAAUGCAAUAAAGCUUGCUUGCUCAUUUCAGAGUUACAUAGUGUAUGCCUUCUAUUUCAGUUUAACUGGUUUACUUUCAUUUCAGUUAGCUUCUUUUAGUUGUUGUGUUGUGAUCCUUGCUUCAUUUGAUACCUCUUAUUUUGCUAUGGCUGAUCUCUUGGACUUGUACCUGAAUGUUUGUAAAGAGCAGUGGUUGUCCCUACAAAUUUUCCUUUGGUGUUAUUUAGGUUUUUGUCACAUAGCUAGCACCAACUUAUAGAAUUUCAUUGCCAUGAAAUACAAUACAUCUGGGCCUAAAUUUCAAUAACUUAUAUUUUUAUUGCCAUCCACCCUCUUUUUCAGGGAUAAUCUUGUAGUAUAUUUGGGAAUAGAGAUUUUAGUAGGAGAGGUGAAUAUUGAAUAUCCAUGCUAAAAUUGUUGAACGUAUCUGUCUUAUUUGAUUCUUUAGAAUAUGAGAAAUUUGGCUAUAAUAAGUUAGUUUUAAUUUGAUUAUAGCAGUCUCAAGUAAGAGAACCGAGGCUUGCUUGACAUCUCAAGGAAAGAGGGACUGGAAUGUUGUGCCUUUUGAUUUUUCAAGAAUCAAUCUAGUAAAUAUGAUUCACGAGUUUAGGAAUACUUCAGGUUGAAAGAGUGAAUUGCUUUUACCUGCGUGAAAUGUAAUUGAUUCUGUGUAGCCUCUCUCAACUUUUGUCAGGUUUCUUUGUCUUUGUGAUUUGUGCAUUUUAAAGACCUCAUACAAUCAAGCAUUUGAAAUUAGGCUGGACUUAAAUUUAUCAGCUCCAAUGAAUCUGUCCUAUGCAUCUUUUUCAGGCACCAUUAUUAAUACCAAGCAACUGGCCUAGAAAUAUUAAAAGGAAGUCUUUUUCUGAUGCUAAGGCCCCCGGUAAUGCUGUAAUACAUGCAUGUCAAGUGAUGACUUAA
rnacentral:lncRNA from 1 species